rnacentral:rRNA from 1 species
GACGGAGGGCGCAAGCGUUGUUCGGAAUUACUGGGCGUAAAGCGCGGGCAGGCGGUCUGUUAAGUCGUUUGUGAAAAUCCGGGGCUCAACCCCGUGAAACGCAUACGAUACUGGCAGGCUAGAGACUGGUAGAGGCUAGCGGAAUUCCUGGUGUAGCGGUGGAAUGCGUAGAUAUCAGGAAGAACACCUGUGGCGAAGGCGGCUAGCUGGGCCAGAUCUGACGCUCAUCCGCGAAAGCGUGGGUAGCAAACAGG